AUUGAACGCUGGCGGCAGGCCUAACACAUGCAAGUCGAGCGAGCGGCGGACGGGCGAGUAAUGUAUGGGGAUCUGCCUGAUGGAGGGGGAUAACUACUGGAAACGGUAGCUAAUACCGCAUACCAUCAGAUGAACCCAUAUGGGAUUAGCUUGUAGGUGAGGUAACGGCUCACCUAGGCGACGAUCCCUAGCUGGUCUGAGAGGAUGAUCGGCCACACUGGGACUGAGACACGGCCCAGACUCCUACGGGAGGCAGCAGUGGGGAAUAUUGAGCAAUGGGCGCAAGCCUGAUGGAGCCAUGCCGCGUGUAUGAAGAAGGCCUUCGGGUUGUAAAGUACUUUCAGUCGGGAGGCGGUACCGACAGAAGAAGCACCGGCUAACUCCGUGCCAGCCGCCGCGGUAAUUC
rnacentral:rRNA from 1 species